ensembl:lncRNA
UAUAAAUACAGAGAAGCCUACCAGGUAGAUUAUAUCAUACUCCCACAAACUUACCAUGGCAAACACCACGUGUUUUCAGUGGUGGAAACAAUCACUGGAUGGUGGAACCAUAUUCCAUGCCUCAUGCCACCACCCACCAUACUAACCUUGGUCUUGAAAAGCAAAUCUUUUGGAGACAUGGCACCCCAGAAAGAAUUGAGUUACACAGUGGGACUCAUUUCCAAAACAAUCACAUUAAUGCUUGGGCCAAAGAGCAUGGUAUUGAGUGGGUAUGUGUAGUGGAAUUCCAGGGUCACAGCCUGAACCAGUGGGUGGGCUACGUGAGUGUGUGGGUGCCUGGAGUGGGAGGGUCGGUGGUCUGGAGCCACCCCUUCUGUCUCUACAAUACUUUCUGUGCAGUCUGAGUCUGCAUGGGUCCCCCUCUUUGCCCUGCCCUUCUCUCCAGCGGCGCGCCGGUACGAACGGGGGAGGGUCAUAUUCCUCAGCUCGUCUCUCUCCACACUGUUACCGGGAGGGGAGGACCAGUGAAGAAAUUCCAGUAAAGACUGAUUGUCCUGGAGUAAACCUACAGAAAUUCCAGAGCAGCCAUCAGGAUUAUUGUGAGUCAAGAUCAUGGUAACUGAGGGCCAAGGGACCCACAGAGUGCUGGCAAACACUACUCCAUCUCAGGACAAUACCUGUAUGCAGAAUUUGACUCAAGAUCAUAAAAAAAUAAUGGACUAGACUCUUUUAACAGACAUGAAUUUAAAUAAAAAACAUCACCAAGAUAGCUGCUUAAAGUCUGAAAAGGGCUCUGGAAAAGCCACAGCAGUGAUUAUUUUCAAAGCUAUUAUAAUGGAUGGAGUUCUGAAAACCUAAACACUUCCGUGUGUCAGUGUUUGUGUUCUUCCAAAUCAUAUCAGUGAAUGUAAUGUAUAUAAAAUCAGAGACAUAGACUACGACUGUAAUUCAGAUAAUUGGUUGAGGAAGAAAAAGUACAAAUCAUCAUGAAAUGUAUUUCUUUCUCU